rnacentral:rRNA from 1 species
GGGGAAUCUUCCGCAAUGGACGAAAGUCUGACGGAGCAACGCCGCGUGAGUGAUGACGGCCUUCGGGUUGUAAAGCUCUGUUAAUCGGGACGAAAGGUCCUCUUGCGAAUAGUUAGAGGAAUUGACGGUACCGGAAUAGAAAGCCACGGCUAACUACGUGCCAGCAGCCGCGGUAAUACGUAGGUGGCAAGCGUUGUCCGGAAUUAUUGGGCGUAAAGCGCGCGCAGGCGGAUCAGUUAGUCUGUCUUAAAAGUUCGGGGCUUAACCCCGUGAUGGGAUGGAAACUGCCAAUCUAGAGUAUCGGAGAGGAAAGUGGAAUUCCUAGUGUAGCGGUGAAAUGCGUAGAUAUUAGGAAGAACACCAGUGGCGAAGGCGACUUUCUGGACGAAAACUGACGCUGAGGCGCGAAAGCCAGGGGAGCGAACGGGAUUAGAUACCCCGGUAGUCCUGGCCGUAAACGAUGGGUACUAGGUGUAGGAGGUAUCGACCCCUUCUGUGCCGGAGUUAACGCAAUAAGUACCCCGCCUGGGGAGUACGACCGCAAGGUUG